rnacentral:miRNA from 1 species
AUAUGAAGCCUCUAAGGUCUUGUAAAAAUGCAGACUCUAAUUCAGAUUCUGGGUGGGGCCUGAGAUUCUGCAGUUUGAAUAAGUUCCCAGGUGAAGCCCAC